rnacentral:rRNA from 1 species
CUACGGGUGGCAGCAGUGGGGAAUAUUGCACAAUGGGCGCAAGCCUGAUGCAGCCAUGCCGCGUGUAUGAAGAAGGCCUUCGGGUUGUAAAGUACUUUCAGCGGGGAGGAAGGGAGUAAAGUUAAUACCUUUGCCCAUUGACGUUACCCGCAGAAGAAGCACCGGCUAACUCCGUGCCAGCAGCCGCGGUAAUACGGAGGGUGCAAGCGGUAAUCGGAAUUACUGGGCGUAAAGCGCACGCAGGCGGUUUGUUAAGUCAGAUGUGAAAUCCUCGGGCUCAACCUGGGAACUGCAUCUGAGACUGGCAAGCUUGAGUAUCGUAGAGGGGGGUAGAAUUCCAGGUGUAGCGGUGAAAUGCGUAGAGAUCUGGAGGAAUACCGGUGGCGAAGGCGGCCCCCUGGACGAAGACUGACGCUCAGGUGCGAAAGCGUGGGGAGCAAACAGGAUUAGAUACCCCGGUAGUC